CACCACUCAAGCCCAGCUUGGUGUUGGGGCACCCGGCCGCCCGGCGGUCGGGGCCCCCAAGUACAUCGGCGGUCUCGCUAGGACCCUGAGCGCAGUAACUCGCGGUAAAACGCGCCUCGCUCGGAAGUUCCCAGCGGGCUUCCAGCCGCUAAACCCCCUAAUUUUCUUA
rnacentral:misc_RNA from 1 species